AUACGGAGGGAGCAAGCGUUAUUCGGAAUCACUGGGCGUAAAGGACGCGUAGGCGGGUUUGUAAGUCAGGUGUGAAAUCCUACAGCUCAACUGUAGAACUGCACUUGAAACUACAGACCUAGAGUAUGGAAGGGGCAGAUGGAAUUAGUGUGUAGGGGUAAAAUCCGUAGAUAUCACUAGGAAUACCGAAAGCGAAGGCGAUCUGCUGGGACAUUACUGACGCUGAGGCGUGAAAGCGUGGGGAGCAAACAGGAUUAGAAACCCUAGUAGUCC
rnacentral:rRNA from 1 species